rnacentral:lncRNA from 1 species
AGCUAUUACAAAGUCCGUAAGUCAAGACUUCUUCCGGCGAGCUUUCGGCGAACUUCCGACGGUCUUCCGAUAAACUCUCGGAAACCAUUCUGCGGACUCCCGACAAGCUCCUAGACUUCACGAUUUGAUCUUGGUGAGUUCCAACGAGCUUCUUCGGAAAGCUCCGAUCAUUCUCGGUGAGCUCCGCGAACUUCCAACGAACCUUCC